GGUUUUCCAAAGUGCUGGGAUUACAGGUCGUGAGCCACUGCCCCUGGCUAUAUCUUGUCCUUCUAAAAGUUGACAGCACUUACUCUCUGUGCCAUUCCCAGGGCACAAGCCUGCUUCAGCCUUCUAGAGACACCUGUAUUCUCUUGCCACCCAAGGCCUUCUGCUUCUCUUUGCCUCCCAGCAUCCAAAACAGUAGUGCUCAGGAAAUACUUGUGGCUCUGUGAUGGAGUGACUCAGGCAGCCCCACGGGGAGUAGAGUUUUAUGAGUUUAAUAUGAACCAUACCCUGAAAUCUGAGAAAUUUACCUCAUUGCUCAUGCUGGAAACCCUCAGUUCCAGUCGGAUUUGCUUGGAGCUGGAUGGAAUUGUGUUGCUUUUCAUACUGAAAAUGAUCAUCUAAUUUUUAAAUUUAAAAAACAUUUACGUAGCACCUACUUCACGUUCGACAGGAAUCUCAACACUUCACAAAUGUUAACUCACUGACUUUUCCUAACAGAGGCAUUGAGAAGUUAAGUAACUUGCCCAGGGGUCAAAGCCAGUAAACGGCAGAGCUGGGCUUCAAAUCCAGGUUCCUUGCUUCCAGAGGAGAUGCUCUUCAGUUUGUUCUGGUGCCUGAAACUUACAGAUGAGUGGCAAAACCCUCCAUGAACGGGGAAAAAAAAGACAUUGAUGUAUUUAUUUCAAGGGAAAUGUGUGUGUGUGUGUGUGUGUGUGUGUGUGUGUGUGUGUGUGUGUGUGUUUUGCCCAUCGUCCCCCUUUUCUUCCUCAUUGAAAGCAAAAUGCUCUAAAGCAAACAGUCUUUUUUCACACCUGAGACACCGGCGGUGUUCAUUUUUGCUUUGGCAAUCAAAAUGGAAGAGGAAACUUGUGUGGUUUCAUCACUGGUGCUUUCGGGGUGUGUGGGGCGGGCUGUCCUUCUCCCUCGGUCCUGGCUCAUCGGCCCGAGCCCCCCUCCCCAGGCCUUGUGGCCUCCGGUCGGUCGUGGAGACAUAAGAGGCCGCCUUUCCUCUGUUAACACCGGGAAUGUGCCCCAGCCUCUCCCUCCUUCCUGCAAAUCCAGUCCUUGUCCUGGAGAACCUCAGCGUCUUCUUAUGCCUGCCUCUUUCAAAUCCCAACGGGCACGGUGUAGGCGCCUGUGGUCCCAGCUACUCGGGAGGCUGGGGCAGAAGGAUCGCUGGACCCAGGAGGUCGAGGCUGCAGUGAGCUAUGACUGCGCCACCGCACUCCAGCCUGGGCGACAGAGCCAGACCCUGUCUUGAUUAAAAAAUAAAAUAAAAUAAAGAAAUUAAAGUCCUUAUAACCC
rnacentral:lncRNA from 10 species